rnacentral:rRNA from 1 species
UACGAAGGGGGCUAGCGUUGCUCGGAAUCACUGGGCGUAAAGGGUGCGUAGGCGGGUCUUUAAGUCAGGGGUGAAAUCCUGGAGCUCAACUCCAGAACUGCCUUUGAUACUGAGGAUCUUGAGUCCGGGAGAGGUGAGUGGAACUGCGAGUGUAGAGGUGAAAUUCGUAGAUAUUCGCAAGAACACCAGUGGCGAAGGCGGCUCACUGGCCCGGUACUGACGCUGAGGCACGAAAGCAUGGGGAGCGAACAGG